rnacentral:rRNA from 1 species
GAUCAUGGCUCAGGACGAACGCUGGCGGCGUGCCUAAUACAUGCAAGUAGAACGCUGUAAGGAAGGAGCUUGCUCUUUCCGGAUGAGUUGCGAACGGGUGAGUAACGCGUAGGUAACCUGCCUGGUAGUGGGGGAUAACUAGUUGGAAACGAUAGCUAAUACCGCAUAACAGUAGAUAUCGCAUGAUAGCUGCUUGAAAGGUGCAAUUGCACCACUACCCAGAUGG